rnacentral:lncRNA from 1 species
CCGCCGCCGUAGCCACUGCCGGUGCGCCGCAGCUGCCGCGCCACUGAGGCAGAGAAGGAAGAAGAGGAAGACGCCGCUGUCGUUACCGUCGGCGCUUGGCACAGCCAGGGGCAGAGUGAGGAGACCGAGAAAGGGUUCCCAAGCCAGGCUGCUAUCCAACCUUUGCCCGGAGAGGGCCCUGACAGCACCUUGGCUGGUCUACUCUCCAGGACCUUUGGCUGCACAGAAUGGGGCGAGCUGGGCCAGGGGCAGGGGCACUUGAGGCCUCUGCCUUCUCAAAGCUCUGAGGAGGAGCUGAGAAGCGUGACCACCCAACCCCGUGGUGCAUUACGUGCAGAAACGUUGGUAAGUGGGACUAUGCAGGAGCAUACCUGUCACUUUCUUUUCUUGGAUUUGUAAAAUUCAAGGUAGAGGGAGGGUCUGAGAUAACAAAGGCCAGUGUAUCCAAGUCAGUCCUUUCUCAGAGAAC